GACGAACGCUGGCGGCGUGCUUAACACAUGCAAGUCGAACGGAAAGGCCUCUUUCGGGGGGUACUCGAGUGGCGAACGGGUGAGUAACACGUGAGUAACCUGCCCUUGUCUUUGGGAUAACUUCAGGAAACUGGGGCUAAUACCGGAUAGGAGCUCUUGUGGCAUGGGGGGGGGUGGAAAGAUUCGGGGGGUGGGGGUGGACUCGCGGCGUAUCAGCUUGUUGGUGGGGGAGUGGAUUACCAAGGCUUUGACGGGUAGCCGGCCUGGGAGGGUGACCGGCCCCAUUGGGACUGAGAGAAGGCCCAGACUCCUACGGGGGGCAGACGGGGGGAAUAUUGCCCAAUGGGUGGAAGCCUGAUGCAGCAACGCCGUGUGCGGGAAGACGGGCUUCGGGUUGUAAACCGCCUUCGCUCAUGACGAAGCUUUGUGUGACGGUAGUGGGUAAAGAAGCACCGGCUAACUACGUG
rnacentral:rRNA from 1 species